rnacentral:tRNA from 1 species
GCCAUCGUAGCUCAGGGGCAGAGCACACCCUUGGUAAGGGUGGGGUCGCAUGUUCGAUUCAUGCCGGUGGCACCA